GGAUCUCUACCUGGAGAUCCCUUCUUUUGGAGUAUUUGGCAAGCCCUGAUCCUUGGGAUGGAUUGAGCCCAUCAGGCACUGGAAACCCUGAAGGAGACGAGCAAGGAGAUGAGCAAGCAUUAAAUCACCUAGAAAAAUGGCCACGGAGGAGUGCUGAGACAGUGGCUCAGGCUGCCCAGGGAGGUGAGGGAGUCGCUGUCACUGGAGGUGUUCAAGAACUGUGGAGACGUGGCACUGAGGGGACACAGCCAAUGAAGCUGAAAAAAAACCAACCCGCACCCCAAGGUGCCACCAGGAGGACUCUGUCCCGACAGCCAUGGUGGGAACAGCUCCCGCACCCCCCAGUGCCAUCUCCGAGCUCUGCCAGGAGGAGAGAAGCAAAAAAACACUCGAGCAGCCAGGAGACGAUCCCUCCAUCGAUUGUGUAAACUGUCAGUGGAGUGGCAAGGAGCAUUUUUUUUUAUUUAUUUCUAUCCCAGGGAAUAAUCCAGCCCGAUAAUUAGUACAUAAGAGAUAAGUGGAAAAUGAGACAUCUAGCGAGGGUGGUUCGAGGCUCCUCAUGACAUUGAUAAUGUGCAGAUACAUAGAUCACUGUCGGGGCCAACCGCCACCACGAGCCCGUGUCUUCCCAUUGCCUCAUCAAUCCAUCAUCCGCUUAGCUGCUGACACCUUGGCAGGCACACACCACCGGCCCCGCAUUAGAAUUGCAAGGAGCGGGCUCCACCGGGGAAUACAGAUUUAAAAAUCUAAGAUUCAAAUUUGUUUAAGUAUUGUGAACAGCAAUUCCCUCGCAAGGCAUCUUCAUUGCCCUUUUGCCAAGGGGGAACAGUUGGGUCUUUGUUAGAAGUACAAAUUGCUUCUUAAUGCAAAGGAUAAAGCGGAGCCCAGGCACCUCCUUAGAAUUCCUCCUGGCUCCCGCUAAUGCUGCUGCAUGUCAAUUUUAAUUUUUUGAAAUUUAAACCGAGGGCUUUGUGUCUAAGCUCCAUUUCGUUGGGAGAGGGGAGGGGGUGGGGGAGGAAUAGUCAAAAAGGAUUACAGAUCCGGAGGGAAUUGGGGAUCCAUAGCAAUUAUACUUCAUUUGGGUCUGAGACGCUGCUUUUAAUCAUAUUCUAAACGGUACAAAUCGACAAGGCGUUGGAGAUUGAUAAUUGUCGAACGCGUGUACCUGGUUAUGAACUCUGCUCCCCUCGGCCGGGGGAGGCUGGAGGAUGGGAUCAAGGCAGGAACUGCCUCCUCCCUCCUGGAACAGGGCACGCCGUGGCCCUCUGCGCAGCCAAGAGGGGACGCAUCCCACCAAGGGCUGAUAGGGGACUGUGAGAGCACAGCCAUCAAUGGGCUGCCCAGUGUGGGGCUGGAGUGAGCCCAUCCCCAGUGUGAGUCUGGACAGGGAUACUGCAGUUGGUGGAAGUGAGAGCAAACAGGGAAUUGGCUUCUGUAACUCAAUUAAAUCCCUUACAGGCAAGAAAUCUCAUCUUACCCCAACAGAGCGGUUUACCCAUUGCUCAUGGAAGAGCUCAGGGCUACACGCACCUUUACAAGAACACACUG